AAUAACGAAAUAUAAUACUUAUGUUAAUGGUCAAGUUGAUAAUUUUACAUACAUCUCCCCCGCCCAGAACCCAGGUAUCAGACACUGCCAAAAUAAAGAGCUUUGAAUACUAAAAGAAAAGCUCUUAUACCUAACAAGAUCAAGUGAAUACUCAAAAUCGUGGUUAUUUUAUUUCUAUCUUUCCA
rnacentral:antisense_RNA from 1 species